AUUGAACGCUGGCGGCAGGCUUAACACAUGCAAGUCGAGCGGGGUGAGGUGCUUCGGUACUGAUCCUAGCGGCGGACGGGUGAGUAAUGCUUAGGAAUCUGCCAUUUAGUGGGGGACAACAUUCCGAAAGGAAUGCUAAUACCGCAUACGUCCUACGGGAGAAAGCAGGGGAUCUUCGGACCUUGCGCUAAAUGAUGAGCCUAAGUCGGAUUAGCUAGUUGGUGGGGUAAAGGCCUACCAAGGCGACGAUCUGUAGCGGGUCUGAGAGGAUGAUCCGCCACACUGGGACUGAGACACGGCCCAGACUCCUACGGGAGGCAGCAGUGGGGAAUAUUGGACAAUGGGCGCAAGCCUGAUCCAGCCAUGCCGCGUGUGUGAAGAAGGCCUUAUGGUUGUAAACACUUUAAGCGAGGAGGAGGCUACUUUAGUUAAUACCUAGAGAUAGUGGACGUUACUCGCAGAAUAAGCACCGGCUAACUCUGUGCCAGCCGCCGCAGUAAAAC
rnacentral:rRNA from 1 species